ACCGGUGAUCCAACAGGAGGUCAUUAGUCAAAGAUCUGUAAUCUGAUUGGUCCAGUUAGGAGUAGCAGUGGUUCUACUGAAUUGUUCUUCCAAGAAACAAAGACCCAGCAAACCGGCACCGACCCCAGGAAUGCGGUGAAACUUCCUUCAACUCAGACAAUGUUCCCAUUAGAAACUGUUUUAAUAGAGAAACCAUCACGCAGCUAAAUCUCUACAAACAUCGCCCUCUAGUGGUUCUGGAUGGCAGUGCAUGGAAGCAUCUAUUUACUGACUGGAACUCCUGCACGAUAAAUCCACCAACAGUCAAAGAUUUCUUUCCCUAAAUAAUAUUUUAUCCGUUUUUAUUAACCUCCCUCGUUUCCAGCUGAACCAGAGUGUUCUCUGGCAGGUUCUGUUGUUCUUGGAGAACCCGCCAGCGGCCCGAUCGGCCUCAUUAAUCCUCUCAGCAGGUUGCCUCUCAGAAGGAGAUGUUUGCUGCAGCAACCCUCCGUCUGGAGGCGCUUCAGAGUUUGGAGGAAAGAAGAAGUGCUUUUAAUUGGAUCUGGCAGCUUUUCCACUGAUGGAUGUCAGGUGGAAACAAGCAGGAAUCUUCACAGAGGAAACAGACUGCUGGAGGUUUUUAUUAAUCGUCUUCCUCUAAUUUAGCAGAGCGAGCUGUCGUUGAAUUACUGAGACUCGUCCUGCUAUGGAGUUUUUUCCACCACACAAUUUAUCUUUCUGGCUGCUUUAAGCCUCCAAUUUGUAAUGAGUUAUUGGGCUGUUCCCCAAUAUUCCCCAGUGAUUGAGCAGGAAGUAUUCGGGACGUGAUUUAUAGAUGUUAAUUGUGGAGCUCACAAUGGAGAGGAGGAGGCGCACAUCUGGAGGAGUCAUCACGGCUGGAGCCAAGCUGCCGCUCCUGGGAGGGAAGGAAAAGGAGAGCUGAAUGCGAACGACCUGCGACCCCCCGGGUCCCCAGCGGGAGCCCCGGAUGCCUUUGGGUCAGGCCUCCUCCAUCCAGGACUGAUUAAGGUCAAAGGUGGGAGGGUUCAUCUCUGACAGACCCAGAAACACCACCUGCACUCAACAUCACUUCCUGUUUGCUCCGUGAUGCAGCCCUCUCUGGAAAUCCAACUCCUUGCUCCUUCAGACUAGCCAACAUCCGUCCAACACAUCCUGGUUCCCAUCUCAGCAACGCAACGGACAGAACGGUGGCGGCGGUUCCCACAAGGUGGAGGAAGGUCUUAGCCGCAGAGUUUCCCACAGAGCCGGACGACACGCCCAACAGAUUUAUGCUUCUCCCAGCGAACGAAGCUGCAGCUGAACCUCAACGAACUGCGACCUCAUUCUGGAAACACGCAGAGGCAGCAGGAAGCCAGCAGGACACACACCGACUUCACCGCCAACAAGACACACACCGACUUCACCGCCAACAAGACACACACCGACUUCACCGCCAACAAGACACACACCGACUUCACCGCCAACAAGACACACACCGACUUCACCGCCAGCAAGACACACACCGACUUCACCGCCAACAAGACACACACCGACUUCACCGCCUACAAGACACACACCGACUUCACCGCCAACAAGACACACACCGACUUCACCGCCCUCGGGACCAGUGAUGGCAUAGUUACUUUGAAAAAGUAACUUUAAUCGGAUUACUGAUUACUCCCUGAAAAAGUA